GUAACUGCGAGUGAAGCGGGAAAAGCUCAAAUUUAAAAUCUGGCGGUCUUUUGGCUGUCCGAGUUGUAAUCUAGAGAAGUGUUAUCCGCGCUGGACCGUGUACAAGUCUCCUGGAAUGGAGCAUCAUAGAGGGUGAGAAUCCCGUCUUUGACAUGGACUGCCAGGGCUUUUGUGAUGCGCUCUCAAAGAGUCGAGUUGUUUGGGAAUGCAGCUCAAAAUGGGUGGUAAAUUCCAUCUAAAGCUAAAUAUUGGCGAGAGACCGAUAGCGAACAAGUACCGUGAGGGAAAGAUGAAAAGAACUUUGGAAAGAGAGUUAAACAGUACGUGAAAUUGCUGAAAGGGAAACGCUUGAAGUCAGUCGCGUCGUCCAGGGAUCAACCUUGCUUUUGCUUGGUGCACUUUCUGGUUUGACGGGUCAGCAUCAAUUUUGACCAUUGGAAAAAGAUCAAGGGAAUGUGGCAUCUUUGGAUGUGUUUAUAGCCCUUGGUCACAUACAAUGGUUYGGGAUUGAGGAACUCAGCAUGCCGCAAGGCCGGGUGUUUACACCACGUACGUGCUUAGGAUGUUGACAUAUAUAAUGGCUUUAAUCGACCCGUCUUGAAACACGGACCAAGGAGUCUAACAUGCCUGCGAGUGUUUGGGUGGAAAACCCGAGCGCGUAAUGAAAGUGAAAAGUUGAGAUCCCUGUCGUGGGGAGCAUCGACGCCCGGAUCAGACCUUUUGUGACGGUUCCGCGGUAGAGCAUGUAUGUUGGGACCCGAAAGAUGGUGAACUAUGCCUGAAUAGGGUGAAUCCAGAGGAAACUCUGGUGGAGGCUCGUAGCGAUUCUGACGUGCAAAUCGAUCGUCAAAUUUGGGUAUAGGGGCGAAAGACUAAUC
rnacentral:rRNA from 1 species